rnacentral:rRNA from 1 species
AGAUAGAACCCUUGCCUUUUUGAGUACCUUUCGUUUCCUCGGCAGGCUCGCCUGCCAAUGGGGACCACAAAAAACACUUUGCAGUACCUGUAAUAGUCUGAACAAACAAACAAAAAUUGAAACUUUCAACAACGGAUCUCUUGGUUCUGGCAUCGAUGAAGAACGCAGCGAAAUGCGAUAAGUAGUGUGAAUUGCAGAAUUCAGUGAAUCAUCGAAUCUUUGAACGCACAUUGCGCCCUUUGGUAUUCCUUAGGGCAUGCCUGUUCGAGCGUCAUUUAAACCUUCAAGCUAAGCUUGGUGUUGGGUGACUGUCCGCUUCACUGCGGGCUCGCCUCAAAAUUAUUGGCGGCCGGUACAUUGGCUUCGAGCGCAGCAGAAACGCGAACUCGGGCCCGUCGUAUUGGCUCCCAGAAGCUAUCUUCACAAUUUUGACCUCGGAUCAGGUAGGGAUACCCGCUGAACUUAAGCAUAUCAAUAAGCGGAGGAAAAGAAACCAACAGGGAUUGCCCUAGUAACGGCGAGUGAAGCGGCAACAGCUCAAAUUUGAAAUCUGGCUCUUUCAGGGUCCGAGUUGUAAUUUGUAGAGGGUGCUUUGGAGUCGACUGUGGUCUAAGUUCCUUGGAACAGGACGUCGCGGAGGGUGAGAAUCCCGUAUGUGGCCGCCAGUCUUCUCCGUGUAAAGCCCCUUCGACGAGUCGAGUUGUUUGGGAAUGCAGCUCUAAAUGGGAGGUAAAUUUCUUCUAAAGCUAAAUAUUGGCCAGAGACCGAUAGCGCACAAGUAGAGUGAUCGAAAGAUGAAAAGCACUUUGGAAAGAGAGUCAAAAAGCACGUGAAAUUGUUGAAAA